rnacentral:lncRNA from 1 species
AUGAGCCUGAAAAGAGUAUCUGGAUUCAAGGGAGAGGCUGCAGGGUCAGUCUCUGGGGCACCAAGCCUUGGCCUUGGCUUCCUCCUUAUUGAUCACCGCGCUGCUGAUCGUGUUCUCGGAGACUCUGAGCCCGGAGAUUCAGACCUAUCAAAAUGGAAACCAGCCACUCAGUCCAGCACAGCAAGAUCUUUGGGAUACCAAAAAAGCAGUGGAUGGGUCUCCAGAAACUGACUUUGACAAGGGCUCCUGUAUUCAAAUAUGCUGGAAGCUCACCCACCCCUGGUAGGUGGUAGAUCUGGGAUCUACAGAGACUAGAAGUAGUGGUGAUUAUCAACCUAAGGGACUGCUGUCAGGAGAUUAAUAAAGCCAUGACUGAUUGGAGACUCACCGG